rnacentral:rRNA from 1 species
GGUCAAGCGAACAAGUGCAUGUGGUGGAUGCCUUGGCGAUCACAGGCGAUGAAGGACGCGGUAGCCUGCGAAAAGCCCCGGGGAGCUGGCAAACAAGCUUUGAUCCGGGGAUGUCCGAAUGGGGAAACCCACUCCGUAUGGAGUAUCCAUGACUGAAUACAUAGGUCAUGUGAAGCGAACGCGGUGAACUGAAACAUCUAAGUAACCGCAGGAAAAGAAAUCAACCGAGAUUCCCAAAGUAGUGGCGAGCGAAAUGGGAUGAGCCUUGUACUCUUUAUUUGUAUUGUUAGCCGAACGCUCUGGAAAGUGCGGCCAUAGCAGGUGAUAGCCCUGUAGGCGAAAACAGUAUGAAAGAACUAGGUGUACGACAAGUAGGGCGGGACACGUGAAAUCCUGUCUGAAGAUGGGGGGACCAUCCUCCAAGGCUAAAUACUCGUGAUCGACCGAUAGUGAACCAGUACCGUGAGGGAAAGGCGAAAAGAACCCCGGGAGGGGAGUGAAAUAGAUCCUGAAACCGCAUGCAUACAAACAGUCGGAGCCUCGUAAGGGGUGACGGCGUACCUUUUGUAUAAUGGGUCAGCGACUUACGUUCAGUAGCAAGCUUAACCGUAUAGGGCAGGCGUAGCGAAAGCGAGUCCGAAUAGGGCGUUCAGUUGCUGGGCGUAGACCCGAAACCAGGUGAUCUAUCCAUGGCCAGGAUGAAGGUGCGGUAACACGUACUGGAGGUCCGAACCCACUAACGUUGAAAAGUUAGGGGAUGAGCUGUGGAUAGGGGUGAAAGGCUAAACAAACCUGGAAAUAGCUGGUUCUCUCCGAAAACUAUUUAGGUAGUGCCUCGUGUCUCACCUUCGGGGGUAGAGCACUGUCAUGGUUGGGGGGUCUAUUGCAGAUUACCCCGCCAUAGCAAACUCCGAAUACCGAAGAGUGCAAUCACGGGAGACAGACAUCGGGUGCUAACGUCCGGUGUCAAGAGGGAAACAACCCAGACCGCCAGCUAAGGUCCCCAAAUAUGGCUAAGUGGGAAACGAAGUGGGAAGGCUAAAACAGUCAGGAGGUUGGCUUAGAAGCAGCCACCCUUUAAAGAAAGCGUAAUAGCUCACUGAUCGAGUCGUCCUGCGCGGAAGAUGUAACGGGGCUAAGCCAUAUACCGAAGCUGCGGAUGCGUGCUUGCACGCAUGGUAGGAGAGCGUUCCGUAAGCCUGCGAAGGUGCCUUGUAAAGGGUGCUGGAGGUAUCGGAAGUGCGAAUGCUGACAUGAGUAGCGAUAAAGGGGGUGAAAGGCCCCCUCGCCGUAAGCCCAAGGUUUCCUACGCAACGUUCAUCGGCGUAGGGUGAGUCGGCCCCUAAGGCGAGGCAGAAAUGCGUAGCUGAUGGGAAGCAGGUCAAUAUUCCUGCACCGUCGUUAGAUGCGAUGGGGGGACGGAUCGCGGAAGGUUGUCCGGGUGUUGGACGUCCCGGUCGCUGCAUUGGAGAAGGCGCUUAGGCAAAUCCGGGCGCAGGAUUCAAGGGUGUGGCGCGAGCGACUUCGGUCGCGAAGCAAUUGGAAGUGGUUCCAAGAAAAGCCUCUAAGCUUCAGUCUAACGAUGACCGUACCGCAAACCGACACAGGUGGGCGAGAUGAGUAUUCUAAGGCGCUUGAGAGAACUCGGGAGAAGGAACUCGGCAAAUUGGUACCGUAACUUCGGGAUAAGGUACGCCCUUGUAGCUUGACUGGCCUGCGCCAGAAGGGUGAAGGGGUUGCAAUAAACUGGUGGCUGCGACUGUUUAAUAAAAACACAGCACUCUGCAAACACGAAAGUGGACGUAUAGGGUGUGACGCCUGCCCGGUGCCGGAAGAUUAAAUGAUGGGGUGCAAGCUCUUGAUUGAAGUCCCGGUAAACGGCGGCCGUAACUAUAACGGUCCUAAGGUAGCGAAAUUCCUUGUCGGGUAAGUUCCGACCUGCACGAAUGGCGUAACGAUGGCCACACUGUCUCCUCCCGAGACUCAGCGAAGUUGAAGUGUUUGUGAUGAUGCAAUCUACCCGCGGCUAGACGGAAAGACCCCAUGAACCUUUACUGUAGCUUUGCAUUGGACUUUGAACCGAUCUGUGUAGGAUAGGUGGGAGGCUAUGAAACCGGAACGCUAGUUUCGGUGGAGCCGUCCUUGAAAUACCACCCUGGUUUGUUUGAGGUUCUAACCUUGGUCCGUGAUCCGGAUCGGGGACAGUGCAUGGUAGGCAGUUUGACUGGGGCGGUCUCCUCCCAAAGGGUAACGGAGGAGUACGAAGGUACGCUAGGUACGGUCGGAAAUCGUGCUGAUAGUGCAAUGGCAUAAGCGUGCUUAACUGCGAGACCGACAAGUCGAGCAGGUGCGAAAGCAGGUCAUAGUGAUCCGGUGGUUCUGUAUGGAAGGGCCAUCGCUCAACGGAUAAAAGGUACUCUGGGGAUAACAGGCUGAUACCGCCCAAGAGUUCAUAUCGACGGCGGUGUUUGGCACCUCGAUGUCGGCUCAUCUCAUCCUGGGGCUGUAGCCGGUCCCAAGGGUAUGGCUGUUCGCCAUUUAAAGAGGUACGUGAGCUGGGUUUAAAACGUCGUGAGACAGUUUGGUCCCUAUCUGCCGUGGGCGUUGGAUAUUUGAAGGGGGCUGCUCCUAGUACGAGAGGACCGGAGUGGACGAACCUCUGGUGUACCGGUUGUGACGCCAGUCGCAUCGCCGGGUAGCUAUGUUCGGAAGAGAUAACCGCUGAAAGCAUCUAAGCGGGAAACUCGCCUUAAGAUGAGAUAUCCCUGGAGGCUUGACCUCCUUGAAGGGUCGUUCGAGACCAGGACGUUGAUAGGUCGGGUGUGUAAGCGCAGUAAUGCGUUCAGCUAACCGAUACUAAUUGCCCGUAAGGCUUGAUCCU